rnacentral:rRNA from 1 species
GUCGGGAGUUAGGAAAUGUAAGUGCGCUAAUAUCGCAUUUAUUUGACGAAGGCUCCAGAGGAAGUCACGGCUAACUCUGUGCCAGCAGCCGCGGUAAUACAGAGGUGGCAAGCGUUGUUCGGAAUUAUUGGGCGUAAAGAGCACGUAGGUGGGUUUGUAAGUCAGAUGUGAAAGCCUUCUGUUCAACGGAAGAAUUGCAUCUGAGACUACGAAUCUUGAGUGUAGGAGGGGAGAGUGGAACUUCUGGU